rnacentral:lncRNA from 1 species
CUACCCGUUCGGAAGGCGAGUUUGACGUUGUUGUCGCGUCGUCAGCGGCGUUCUACGGUGCGUAGACGGCUUCGUUUUCCAAGGCAGAAGCAUCUUCGACUGCCACUGGAUGGCACCAGGUGCUUCGAAGGCGCCAGCUUCCUCUCUGCUAUGGAGCUGAUGUACGCCACAUACUGCUGUCUCAACCUAAAGUACCCUGCCGAGCUGCCAGCAGCGUUGAAGUUCGUUUAGAGGCAACUUGUGGCAAUGAACCCACAGGAGGGGCCCCGGCAGUCUUGAAGAAAAGUUGCUCUGGUGCGUCUGAAGGCGC